rnacentral:rRNA from 1 species
AGUCAACAUGCCCAGAGGACGUGGAUAACCUCGGGAAACUGAGGAUAAACCGCGAUAGGUCAUAAUAUCUGGAAUGAUUUAUGAUUUAAAUCUAUAUGGCCUCUGGAUUGGACUGCGGCCGAUCAGGCUGUUGGUGAGGUAAUGGCCCACCAAACCUGAAACCGGUACGGGCUCUGAGAGGAGAAGCCCGGAGAUGGGCACUGAGACAAGGGCCCAGGCCCUAUGGGGCGCAGCAGGCGCGAAAACUCUGCAAUAAGCGAAAGCUUGACAGGGUUAUUCUGAGUGAUUUCCGCUAAGGAAAUCUUUUGGCACCUCUAAAAAUGGUGCAGAAUAAGGGGUGGGCAAGCCUGGUGUCAGCCGCCGCGGUAAUACCAGCACCCCGAGUGGUCGGGACGAUUAUUGGGCCUAAAGCAUCCGUAGCCGGUUCUACAAGUCUUCCGUUAAAUCCACCUGCUUAACAGAUGGGCUGCGGAGGAUACUAUAGAGCUAGGAGGCGGGAGAGGCAAGCGGUACUUAGUGGGUAGGGGUAAAAUCCGUUGAUCCAUUGAAGACCACCAGUGGCGAAGGCGGCUUGCCAGAACGCACUCGACGGUGAGGGAUGAAAGCUGGGGGAGCAAACCGGAUUAGAUACCCGGGUAGUCCCAGCUGUAAACGAUGCAGACUCGGUGAUGAAUAGGCUUCGUGCCUAUUCAGUGCCGCAGGGAAGCCGUUAAGUCUGCCGCCUGGGGAGUACGGUCGCAAGACUGAAACUUAA